GACGAACGCUGGCGGCGCGCUUAACACAUGCAAGUCGAACGGAAAGGCCUGCUUUCCCUUGUGGAUUGCGGGUACUCGAGUGGCGAACGGGUGAGUAACACGUGAGUGAUCUGCCCCCAACUUGGGUAUAAGCCUGGGAAACUGGGUCUAAUUCCCGAUAGGACUGCAGGGUGGUGCCUGUGGUGGAAAACGAUUUUCUAGUGGUUGGGGAUGAGCUCGCGGCCUAUCAGCUUGUUGGUGGGGUAAUGGCCUACCAAGGCGGCGACGGGUAGCCGGCCUGAGAGGGUGGACGGGCACAUUGGGACUGAGAUACGGCCCAGACUCCUACGGGAGGCAGCAGUGGGGAAUAUUGCACAAUGGGCGGAAGCCUGAUGCAGCGACGCCGCGUGGGGGAUGACGGCCCUCGGGUUGUAAACUCCUUUCGACCGCGAGGAAGCCACCUGGUUGGAAGGGUGGUGACGGUAGUGGUAGAAGAAGCACCGGCUAACUACGUG
rnacentral:rRNA from 1 species